rnacentral:rRNA from 1 species
UACGUAGGGGGCAAGCGUUAUCCGGAUUUACUGGGUGUAAAGGGAGCGUAGACGGCGAGACAAGUCUGAAGUGAAAGCCCGGGGCUCAACCCCGCGGACUGCUUUGGAAACUGCCUUGCUGGAGUGUCGGAGAGGUAAGUGGAAUUCCUAGUGUAGCGGUGAAAUGCGUAGAUAUUAGGAGGAACACCAGUGGCGAAGGCGGCUUACUGGACGAUAACUGACGUUGAGGCUCGAAAGCGUGGGGAGCAAACAGG